GCUACGGGAGGCAGCAGUGAGGAAUAUUGGUCAAUGGGCGCGAGCCUGAACCAGCCAAGUAGCGUGAAGGAUGACUGCCCUACGGGUUGUAAACUUCUUUUAUAAAGGAAUAAAGUGAGGCACGUGUGCCAUUUUGUAUGUACUUUAUGAAUAAGGAUCGGCUAACUCCGUGCCAGCAGCCGCGGUAAUACGUAGGAUCCGAGCGUUAUCCGGAUUUAUUGGGUUUAAAGGGCGCGUAGAUGGGUUGUUAAGUCAGUUGUGAAAGUUUGCGGCUCAACCGUAAAAUUGCAAUUGAUACUGGCAGUCUUGAGUACAGAUGAGGUAGGCGGAAUUCGUGGUGUAGCGGUGAAAUGCUUAGAUAUCACGAAGAACUCCGAUUGCGAAGGCAGCUUACUAAACUGCCACUGACAUUGAUGCUCGAAAGUGUGGGUAUCAAACAGGAUUAGAUACCCUGGUAGUC
rnacentral:rRNA from 1 species